ACAGGGAGAAAAAUGUUGGCGCUUUUAGUCAGAGCUUUUAUGCAUCGUAUUCUCGUUGCAUUAGUUUCGUCGUCCGUCUCCUCGUAUCCCUUGGUUAUAUACAUAUACAUAUUUUAAUUUUCUAAUUCAAUAAAAUCUCGCUUCCUCCGAUCCUCCCCCGAGAGUCGCGAUUCUCUUCGUGUGCGUUCGUAUUCGUUCGGUAAUAAUCGCCGACGCCGUCGCUCGGUCAUCCCUUCUCCCCUCACCUCUCUCGUAAACCCAUUCUAUCAUUCUUUGCGUCGACUCGGUACAAUUCGGCUCGGUUCGGCCAAUCUCGGGUACACGGUCUCGGUCUCGUCGAGCACGAACCAACGAGUCGCUUUUCGAUUCAGUUCUCGUUCGUCCGCACGCCUAUUCGCAUCAAGUCGUGUAUCGGGAGAGUACUAUUUCUCUCUCUCUUUCUCUCUCUCUAUUCUUCCAAGUGAGAGGCGUUUGUGGUCUGCUCUAAAGUAAGAUAAACCGAUAUAAGUGCGCAACGAGAUAAGCCGACUAGGGGCUCACUGACUGACUGACUGACUGACUGACUGACUGACUGAUUAAUUGAACGAAUUUGAAGAACGAGCAACAAUCGUCGACCGCAGCAGCCAACGGGAAAAGAAUCAUCUUCCGAAUUUUGCAGUUUUUUUUAUAUUUAAUUAGGAAGAAGAAGAGCGAAAAAGGUAACCUCAGAACUCGAGAAGAAGAAGAAGAUGAAGAUGAAGAAGAAGAAGAAGAAGAAAAGAAAAGAAAAGAAAAGAAGAUGACUUGAACUGACCGACAUGGACCUGAAGGUUACAGUUACGGAUCAGUCAGGCCAUGACCAUAGUUGAAGAAUCGGAGGAAUACCAUCGAGUACUUGGAAGUCGGUCUUUUGUGCGAACACGUGCAAACUAUCGGCAGCAGACAUACAUAUUUUCCUUCCUCUUUCCUUUUUCAUUCUAUCUAUUUAUCUAUUUAUCUAUCUCUUUCGUUCUUUCCUCUCCCUUAAUCUCAAUCUGAGAACUCAACUUGAACGGAAGUGUUUUGAAAAAAGAACAAAAAAAAAA